rnacentral:lncRNA from 1 species
UAGGUGCGCUCGGGGGCUAGAACUAGUAAAGGGUUCUCGACUGGUUCACCAAUGGGUCCCUCCACAACAGACCUCCUGCUAGUAUUCCGCCAUGAAAGCUCCAAACCAUACCUUGCUUUAUUUUCUCCCCCUGAAAACGAAACAGAAAAUCAGCAGGAAAAUGCCAAACAGGGCCCUUAAUUUCCUUUUGUUUAAAAAAGGUAAGCAAAAUAGACUUUUGAUAGCCAAUUUGGAGAGUAACAGAAAGAUUAAGAUAAUCACAAGAUUAAAUUUUGAACUUUUUGAUGAAAAGUUAAACCCAGUAUUUAACAUUUAAAGAUGAAAUAGUUUGUUGAUUUUUUUUUCUUUCUGAUACAUUUUGGAAAACAGAUAAAGUAUGAAGAACAAAAGAACAAGAACGGAGCUUGUCUGUCUGUGAGAGAGAAAUAAGGCUCAAAAACUAAAAUCCACUACUCGGGUUUUAAAACUAAAAUAAUGAGAAGUUUCUUUCUCCACUCUGCUAGAUUUUCGAGGGAAACAAACAGAAAACAAAAAAGUCUGACAUUAGUAUGUAAGGAGAAGUACCUGCAGGAAGUGGAGGGAGGAAGCGAGAGGCUCCGUGGGAGAAAGGAAGAAAUGUUAAGCAAGAAAAGAAGAGCAAUGCAACUGCCAGGGAAAAUUGCAGUAACCUGUAAAAAUACACCAUUGCAACAAACGCAGAAAAAGAGAAAAAUGACUGUGGCGGUUAGGCGAGAGGAGAGAGGGAACCAAAACCAAGCAUUGAAUAGUUUGUACUAAUGGCGGUUCUCGCAGAUUACCAG